AAUUUAAAUGCUGAGUUGUAUGGUAAAUCCAUUUUUAGUUUUUAAAGUAACUACAAAACUACUUUCUAGAGUGACCAUCCCAUUUUACAUUCCUACUAGCAAU
rnacentral:pre_miRNA from 1 species